AUGAAUCGUAUGAAAAUAAGUGUAAAGAGGAAACUGAGUGGUGGAGAUCUGAUGUGGAUAUAUGGUGAACCGCUGCUUCAAGCUUCGCCAGCGACCUGUCAAAGGUGGUGGUGGUCGUGUCGGACGCGGUUUUUAAUUCGAAGGUUUUUGAGCAGCACUGCUGAUAGGAGUCAGUGGUCAGCGAAGUUCUUACGGCUUUGUGUAAGGUGUAUCGUGAAUCUAUAG